rnacentral:rRNA from 1 species
UACGUAGGUGGCAAGCGUUAUCCGGAAUUAUUGGGCGUAAAGGGAGCGUAGGCGGAUAUUUAAGUGGGAUGUGAAAUACUUGGGCUCAACCCGAGAACGGCAUUCCAAACUGGAUAUCUAGAGUGCAGGAGAGGAGAGUGGAAUUCCUAGUGUAGCGGUGAAAUGCGUAGAGAUUAGGAAGAACACCAGUGGCGAAGGCGACUCUCUGGACUGUAACUGACGCUGCGGAUCCAAAGCGUGGGGAGCGACCUGC